UACAGAGGUCUCAAGCGUUGUUCGGAUUCAUUGGGCGUAAAGGGUGUGUAGGUGGCGCGCUAAGUCGGGUGUGAAAUUUCGGAGCUUAACUCCGAAACUGCAUUCGAUACUGGCGUGCUUGAGGACUGGAGAGGAGACUGGAAUUCAUGGUGUAGCAGUGAAAUGCGUAGAGAUCAUGAGGAAGACCAGUGGCGAAGGCGGGUCUCUGGACAGUUCCUGACACUGAGACACGAAGGCCAGGGGAGCAAAUGGG
rnacentral:rRNA from 1 species